AUUGAACGCUGGCGGCAGGCCUAACACAUGCAAGUCGAGCGGAUGAAGGGAGCUUGCUCCUGGAUUCAGCGGCGGACGGGUGAGUAAUGCCUAGGAAUCUGCCUGGUAGUGGGGGAUAACGUCCGGAAACGGGCGCUAAUACCGCAUACGUCCUGAGGGAGAAAGUGGGGGAUCUUCGGACCUCACGCUAUCAGAUGAGCCUAGGUCGGAUUAGCUAGUUGGUGGGGUAAAGGCCUACCAAGGCGACGAUCCGUAACUGGUCUGAGAGGAUGAUCAGUCACACUGGAACUGAGACACGGUCCAGACUCCUACGGGAGGCAGCAGUGGGGAAUAUUGGACAAUGGGCGAAAGCCUGAUCCAGCCAUGCCGCGUGUGUGAAGAAGGUCUUCGGAUUGUAAAGCGCUUUAAGUUGGGAGGAAGGGCAGUAAGUUAAUACCUUGCUGUAUUGACGUUACCAACAGAAUAAGCACCGGCUAACUUCGUG
rnacentral:rRNA from 1 species